rnacentral:rRNA from 1 species
UACGUAGGGACCAAGCGUUGUGCGGAAUCAUUGGGCGUAAAGAGCGUGUAGGCGGCUUGUUAAGUCUUGCGUGAAAUCUCGGGGCUCAACCCCGAGCGGUCGUGAGAAACUGGCAGGCUAGAGUGCGGGAGAGGAGAGUGGAAUUCCUGGUGUAGCGGUGAAAUGCGUAGAUAUGCGGAGGAACACCGAUGGCGAAGGCAAUCCCCUGGGCCUGUACUGACGCUCAUGCACGAAAGCGUGGGGAGCAAACAGG